GAUAGAGACUGAGAGUCCAGGGCCUGGGGCCACACUGCCUGGGCUGGAAUUCCAGCCUACCUGCUCAUUCUCUGGGCAACUUCUCUCUCUCUCUCUCUCUCUCUCUCUCUUUCUGUUUGAGAGAGAGUCUCACUCUGUCACCCAGGCUGGAGUGCAAUGGUGCAAUCUCGGCUCAUUGUAACCUCUGCCUCCUGUGUUCAAGCGAUUCUCCUGCUUCAGCCUCUUGAGUGGCUGCGAUUACAGGAUGCCUGGCUAAUUUUUAUAUUUUAAGAUAGGGUUUCACCAUGUUGCCCAGGCUGGUCUUGAACUCCUGACCUCAAGUGAUCUACCAGCCUCGGCCUCCCAAAGUGCUGGAAUUACAGGUGUGAGCCACCAUGCCUGGCCUUCACAGUUUCUCAGUAGAGUUCUUUGGGGAUGAUGGAGAUGGACGUGUAAAGCCCUGUGCGCCAGCUGGACACGGGGUGAGCCCCUGGGCAGCAGCAACACCUGCCAGUGAGGAGUCCUUGGUCCUGUCCUCUUCCCUGCGCUCCCCUUUGGCUGACUGUGUGCCUGCAGAAAGUCCCCCCUUCCUAGGAAUUUUGCCAUCUGAAGACGUUGAUGGAUGUGCUGCCUUCUCAGAUAUUUUCUUAUUUUGCCUUUUGCCAGUAAAUAUUUUGCCCAUCUUUUCUUCCUAUUUCAUAUUUUUUCAUUACUGACAAAAUUAUUAAAUUAGUAUGAGUCUUUUAGGUAGCCGUUAAUUUCAAAUAGGCCUAAUUUGUAUACUUGAUUUUCUCUCCCCACCCGCUCUAGAUGUGGUUACAGCUCCUCCUUCUGUUGCUCAUUUGUGCUAAAAUCAACACUUGCUGCCCUGCAGCCUCCUGUAAACCUUCCUGUGGAUGGCCUGGGCAGAGUUACCUCCAUCAACCUCAUUUCCAGCGCACUGUCUAUCCCCUCCUUGGCCCUUCAGAUGCUUUAUGAAGCCACACAGGGCACUCCUCCUCCUCCCUCCACCAAAUAGAAUUGCUGUCUGUUUUGCCCUAUGUCCUGAUGUCCCCUCCUGUGUUUAUUUCUUCUGGUUUCCAGGACCUAAGCCAGUGCUACUGAGUGAGUGCUCACUGGUGUCUGAGGGGUCAGCAGGGAGGAGUGGAGACCAGCUUGGGUUGGAGAACUGCAUCUACUCUAGGCCUGGCUGGUAGCUGAUGUGAGACCUUGGGCACACUGCUCUCCCAACCCUGGUCUUUGCUUCCCCAUCUGUAAAGUAGUGGGAUUGCAUCUGGAUGAUUGUGAGUGUGCUUUCCCAUGCUGACAUUCUAGAAUCUUCCAUUUCUUCUGCUCUGUGGGCAUUGAUUCAUCUGUCCAAUGGGGCCUGUCUUCACUGUAUGGUAUUGGGUUUAGUGACAUUGGUGUAGUUGGAAUUCCAGGAUGAUGUAAUUGUUGUAAUUGUUGCCAAAACCUUGCUGCUGCCACUGCCUUUUACCACCACCAUCUCCACCAUUACCAUCACCACCUUCAUCACCAUCAUCACUGUCACCAUCACCACCACCACCGUGACUAUCACUGAUACAAUCACCAUUACCACCACCACCACAUCACUAUCAUCACCACCAUCACCACCACCACCAUGACUAUCACUGAUACAAUCACCAUUACCACCACCACCACCAUCACUAUCAUCACCACCAUCACCACCACCACCGUGACUAUCACUGAUAUAAUCACCAUUACCACCACCACCACAUCACUAUUACCACCAUCACUAUCGCCACCACCACCACCACCACCAUACUACCACCACCACCAUCAUUACUAUAAUCACCAUUACCAGCACCACCAUUAUCACCAUCAUCACCACCAUCACUAUCAUCACCACCAUCAUUAUGAUAAUCACCAUUACCAGCACCACCAUUAUCACCAUCAUCAUCACCACCAUCACUAUCAUCACCACCACCACCACCAUUACGAUAAUCACCAUCACCAUCACUGUCACUAUCACCAUUACCGUAGUCAUCACCACCACCACUACCAACAUCAUCACUGCCAUCAUCACCACCAUUGCCACCAUUACCACCAUUAUCACUAUCAUCACCACCAUCACUAUCAUCACCACUAUCACUAUCAUCACCGUCACUACUACCACCACCACCAUCACCACCACCACUACCACCACGGCCAUCACCAUGAUCAUCCCUAUCAUCACCAUCACCACCAGCACCCUAUCACUGAUAUAAUCACCAUUCCCACCACCGCCACCAUCAUCACCACCACUACCACCACUACCACCACCACCAUCAUCACUGUCACCGUCACCACCAUUGCCACCAUUACCACCAUUAUCACUAUCAUCACCACCAUCACUAUCAUCACCACCACUACUACCACUGCCACCACCACCAUCAUCACUGUCACCGUCACCACCAGCACCAUGACUAUCCCUGACAUAAUCACCAUUACCACCACCACCACCAUUAUCACUAUCAUCAUCACCACUAUCACUAUCAUCACCGUCACUACUACCACCACCACCAUCAUCACCACCACUACCACCAUGGCCAUCACCACCAUCAUCCCUAUCAUCACCAUCACCAUCACCAUCACCAUCACCAUCACCACCAGCACCCUAUCACUGAUAUAAUCACCAUUCCCACCACCACCACCAUCAUCACCACCACUAUCACUAUCAUCAUCAUCACCACGGCCAUCACCACCAUCAUCACUACCACCACUUCCUGAGUGCUUGCCAUGGGCCGUGUCAGGUGUGUGGUAUCUAUUACCCCAUGUGGUUUUUACAACUGUCUUUUGGGGAUAUAGAUACCCUUCUCCCGAUUUCAGGGGUGAAACAUCUGAAGCACAGAUAAAUUAUUUGCCUUGGGUUCCACAGCUAGUGUUGGCAGAUCUGACUGCAACGCCAGUCUGUCUGACACCCAAGCCUGCACUCUGACUGCUGUGCCUUGUCGGCCGUCUUUAUUCCCCUCAGGCUGGUUUCCUUUGCUUUUGUGACUGCACAUUUUAUGAGGCUGAGUUCUGUCCAUUGUUGCUCUGUGAUUUGGAGAUGUCCUUACUUCUCUAAGCCUGGGUUUCCUACACCAUAAAAGAGAGAGAGGAAAACCUGCCUCAUGGGGGUGUCUGAGGAUUAAAAAAAUUAUGCUAAUCAGAACCUAACAUAGUGCCUGGUGUAGAAUUAAGUCUUAAAUAUUAGUUUUAGAAUUAUAACGAUUGUAUAUUACAUCAAAAUUAUUAUCCACUCUGUAAUGUUUUCCACAAACGAGUAUUGAAAACCUUCCAUGUCUGAGACCCCGUGUUAGGUGCUGUCUGGACAUCCAGAGCUGAGCAGGAUGUGGUCCCCACCUCCCAGGAGCCCAGUCUGCUGGGGAAGCCAUAAGUGUAAACAGCACAGCACAAGGAAGUCAGACUCAUAACAGGGCAUGAAGCACGCAUGAAGAAAGGGCCAGUGGGGCUGGGUGAGGGGUGACCAUCAGUGUGGACGGAGAGGGUUCACAGCCUUAAAUCACAGCCAAUAAAAAUGAAAGAACAAAAGUAACCGAGUUAGGCUUAUGAUUCAAAAAAGUUAAAAAAAAAAGGACAAAAAAUAAUACACUGAAGAAAAGUAGGAGGAAGCCAUUAACAAACUAAUAGAAUAAUGAAUGGGCCACGAAAUAGAAUGUGGGACCUGUAAAUAAAAGCUGUUUUCUGAAAAAAGUUGGAUGAACCUCUAGCAAAUAUAGUCAAGGUUAGAAAUCAAGAAAGUGGCCUGGCACAGUGGCUCAUGCCUGUAAUCCUAGCACUUUGGGAGGCUGAGGCAGGUGGAUCACCUGAGGUCGGGAGUUUGAGACCAGCCUGGUCAACAUGGUGAAAUUCCAUCUCUACUAAAAAUACAAAAAUUAGCCGGUGUGGUGGUGUGUGCCUGUAAUCCCAGCACUCGGGGAGACUGAGGCAGGAGAACUGCUUGAACCUGGGAGGCAGAGGUUGCAGUGAGCAGAGACGCACCACUGCACUCCAGCCUGGGCAACAGAGAGAGACUCCGUCUCACAAAAGGUAGUCGAGAAAGCCCGAGGAACAUAUAACACAUGAUGAGAAAUAACAAGGGAGAAAUAUAAUUUACCAAACUGACCAAUUUCUAUGGAAAAUAGAAAAUGUUUAAGCUACUCCCACAGAGAGCGUGUGGUCUGGGCGGUCCCACGGGGGAAUUUAAACAAAACCUUUUAAAGAGCAGGUACUUCCAAUGCCAAUCAAAGUAUUCCACAGCAGAGAUAAAGAAGAAAAAGUCUAAGCAAUUUUCCUAAAGUGAGAAUAAAGAUGUUUUUCUUAAUCUGACAAAUAUUGUACAAAAAUAAAACUAUAGACCAGUCACACUUAUAAAUAUCAAUGCAAAAAUUUAACAGAUUAGCAAAUAGGAUCCGAGCACCAUCUUAAUAAUACCCUGUGUCUACUUGCAGUUUAUUCUAGCAAUGCAAGAAUAGUUUAAUAUGAAGAAAUCUAUUUAUAUAAUGCAUGAUAUUAAUAAAUAUAAAGAGAAUUAUUACAUUAUCAUCUUUUUAAUACUGAAAAAGCAUGUAAUAAAAUUCAGCAUUCAUUCUUGAUAAACACUCAGCAAAACAGAAAUUGAUUCAUUCUCAACAUGACUGCAAUCAUACUCAAAACCCAUUUUUUUCUGAAUGUGGAAACACUGAAGUUAAGAAAAAAGCAAGGAUGCCUACUCUUGCUACUACUAUUUCAUAUGGUAGCAGAAGCAUUAGCCAAUGCAAUCAGACAAGAAAUGAGAAGAAUAAAUAUUGGAAAGGAGGGGCUAAAAGUAUUACCCUUUUUAAGAUGAUGUAAUUGUAUACUUGGAAAAUCCUAGAGAAUCCGUGAAAUACUACUACAGCCAACAAGAUAAUCCUAUGUAUGCAUGUAUGCAUGUCCAUAUGUAUAUGUGUGUCUGUCUUUCAAUAAUAAUACAAUGGGAGAAAAGGCCCCUAUUUAUGAUAACAACAAAAAUUAAAUAUCUAGGAAUAAACUUAACAAGAAAUGUGCAAAAUGCAUGUGUAGAAAACUUACAACACUCCUGAAGAGCAUUUUUACACCUCCAUAAACUCUAAAUGGAGCCAAGACUUAAAGUCAGCAAAUAUUUCUUGAAUUACAAUGGAUUCAUUGCAAUUCAAGAAAUAUUUGCUGACUUGAAUGCUUUCCAUACACCAGGCCCUGUUCAGGCACUGGUGAUACAGCAGUGAGCUAAACAGAUAGAAAUUCCUGCCCUUCUGGAGCUUGCAGUCUGGGGGGGAAAAAUAAAUAAGAAAAUUGUACUAUAACUUAGAUAAUGAUAAUUCUUAUGGCAAAGUAUGCUGUGGGGAGAGGAGCCCGGCUGAGGUUGCAGCGUGAAGAGCAGGGGUCAUGAGAGGUUCUCCUGACGUGUGCUGUUUCAGCCGUUGCUUUAAGUCAUUUAUUGUUUAACUUUCCACGUGUUUAUUUUGCAUCCUGAGUUAGCUCAGAAGCUCCUUGCAUUCUCCAUGGCAUACAGGCCUAUAGAAAGAUUCCAAUACAUUAAUUUGUUUGAAUUAUCAAAUUUUAAAGAUUUGAACUUUUCUUUUAAUAUGCCAGAUUCUCUGUACUUAUUCUUGGUCUUCCAGGGUCUUUCCUUUCUGCUACCCCAUAAAACCUUGUUUUUCUGGAAUGGAAAGCCUCCAAAACUCUUACUAUUCAAAAUGUGGUCUUUGGACCAACAUCAGCAUCAUGUAAGAGCUUCUUAGAAAUACCCAUGUUUGAAUCCCACCCUACGCCUACUGAAUUUGAGGAUCUGCAUUUUAAACAAAAUUUUUGGGUCCUUUGUAUUAGUCCAUUUGCAUAGCUAUGAAGGAAUACCUGAAGCUGAGUAAUUUACAAGGAAAAGAGGUUUAUUUGGCUCACGGUUCUGCAGACUGUACAUGAAGCAUAGUGCUGGCGUCUGUUUCUGGUAAGGGGAGCAAGAAGCCUACAAUCACAGCAGAAGGUGAAGGGGAGCCAGAGUGUCACCUGGUGAGAGGAAGCAAGACCCUGAGGAGGAAGUUCCAGGCUCUUUUAAACAGCCAUAUCUCAUGUGAACUCAUGAGCAAGAACUCAAUCUUUACCAGGAGGCUGGCAGCAAGCCUUUCAUGAGGGAUCCACCCCCAUGACCCAAAUGGAGGUUGGCACCAAGACAUUCAUGAGGGAUCCGCCUACCCAUUUAUCCGUCUUCCCAUCCACCCACCCACCCAUCCAUCUACCCACCUUUCCAUUCAUCUACUCAACCAGGCAUCCAUCCACCCCACCCACCCACCCAUCUAUCCACCCAUUCAUCUACUUAUCCCCACCAGACACCACCUCCAACAUUGGCGACUGCAUUUCAACAUGAGAUUUUGAAGGAACAAAUAUCCAAAUUAUAUUACAUGUUAAAGUUGAAAAGCAUUUUCCUAUCCCCAGGUUUUGCAAGUUCCCUUCUUGUUCAGCAGAAAUCAGGGGCUGGGAGAGAGGGGAAUCGCCCUGCUCAUGUUGAUAUCAGCUUCUCAUAGAGUCAUCUCUUCCAACUGCCCUUGCACAGCCUGGACUCUGAAGGGCCUCCCAGGAAGUAGCAGCAAGGUGUGUUGAAAAACUCUAGAACUGUUCUGUCCAAUACGGCAACUACUGGUGACAUGUGACUAUUUAAAUAAAAUUAAAGUGUCAUUUGUUCAGAUUACUAGCCACAUUUCAAGUGUUCAACAGCCACAUGGGGCUAGUGGCUACCAUAUUGGAUAGUGCAGGUAGAGAGCAUUCUUGUCCUCACAGAAAGUUCUAUUGGAUGGCGCUGAUGUAGAAUAUACCACAUCCUAGAUUUUGAGAAAUUUUUUAUUGCAAAGUCAAAUUAUUUCUGUCCAUUUGUUUCCAUUUAUCUCAACAGAGCAUCAUCCUGCUCUCUGUCCAUCCAUCCACCCACCCACCCAUCCAUCUACACAUCCACCCAUCCAUUUAUCCAUUCUUCUAUCCAUUUAUCCACUCAUCCAUCUACCCAUCUACCCAUCCACCUGCCUACCCAUCCAUCUGUCUUUUCAUCCACUAUCUAUUCACCCAUCUGCCCACCCAUAUGUCUACUCAUAAUCCAUCCACUCAUCCAUCUCUUCAUCUAGCCAUUUUGUCAUUCUGUAAAUGAUGAUAGCAUGCAGCGGUACUUUGAUAAAUACUUAUUAAAUAAAAAGUAUAGAAUGGUCUGCUUGUCCUCUAUCCCAGGCUUGGGUACUAGGCAUGUGUGUUUGUGCAUGUGUGUGUGUGUGUGUGUGUGUGUGAUGCACUUCCUUACUAUGAGCUUGAGGACAUGCAUCUGGACUUUCUCCCUGAUGUCUGGACCCCCUUUACUGUAUCAGUUUAGCCUUCCUUGCACCGUAAUCUCUCAAGUCUGUGACUCCUCCUGCCUGAGCUAGUUAAUAAGCUGGCUUCCAUGGAAGAGGUCUGGCUUCAUGGUGCUGCCCUUCACACACAAAAGCUCCAUAAGCUUUUAGGGUGAUACUCCUAGGAGCUGGGAUACCCUCUGGCCUUCUUGUUUCCCUGGGCUCCAGUGCUCUUUAUCCCCAAGCUUCUGUGUUCCUGCCUGGGUGCUCCUAUUCUUGUUCAUGUUCAUGGCCCUAAGGGGCCCUGGCCAGGGAUGGUUUCCCAGACCUCAGAAAAUAAAGGAAGAUGGUCCCAACAGGGAGCAACUGACGCGGGGAUGCAUGAGGGCUCUGGGCGGUGCCUGGCAUGGUGGUCAGCAUGCCCAUGUCCUGCCCUGCAGGGCAGCUGCCCACCGGUUUCUUUGGUGUGUGUGGUCUUCCCAGAUCAUGAAGGUUUUUAGUGAAGUGGCUUCAUCCAUCAUGUCUGUAAAGCCCGGAGUUUUCUCACGUUUUAUGACGAUUCACGUUCCCUGAUCUGACCAGGCCGAGGCCUGGGCCACAGCUGCUGUGCCCUCUCCAUUGUGAUAUUUGGCCCGAUGGUGGUGGUCAGAGGGAUAGGGCAUGAGGCUCGCUGUGGGGAGCAGCACCUGCCAUGCCUCCGUUUGUCUCCCUCUUUGGGGCUCCUCCCCCAGUGCCCACAGGAAGGCCUCAGGCCUGCCCCACUGAGAGUCCCCAUCAUCCUGGGUGUCCCCAGAGCCCCCCUUUGGGUGGGAGGCUGGAAUCACCACCCCAUUUUGACACAGACACAAAUCACUGAUCCUUAAAGAUGUGUUUGGUUCUGUAACCCUGGUAUCAGAUUCACUUGCUCUCGGGUCUCUGCAGAAACCUGAGCUUUGCUGCCUCAAAGCCACAGUUGACUCUAAUUACUCUGGAGCCACAUCCCUCUCCCUGUCUCCAGUGGAAAAAGGGAGGCCAUGAACUCAUACCUGGGACUGUGCUGGACCAGCCCUGGAGGAGUGAGCUGGGAUCAGCCAGGGAGCAGAGCUUCUCUACUGUAGCUCCUACCUGCGGGCUAAGCCCAUCAACCUCCCUUAGGACUUUAAAGUAAGGCCAGCUUGUGCCUGGCAGAACCCAGAGAGACUCAUGAAAAUCCUGAGGCUGUGCAGCUGUCACGUACUGGCCAGGCUUUCCUUAGCCUUCCUGGAAGGGCAGACAAAGCCUGGCCUGGUUAUAAUGGGUGUUUGCUCUGCCCUGGGGACAAGGGACCUUGGGCAGUGCAUCUGCCCGUCCUGAGCUUCAGUUUCUUCAUCCACAAAACAGUGACCAUGAUUCCACCACCUCACAGCCUGGAGAAGAGGAAGGCAUGAGGUUAUGCCAGCAAAGUCCCUUAUGGUCAACGUGGAUUUGAUACAGCCAUGGUUACCAUGGUCUCCAGUGAGGGACUGAUGGCUCUCGCUAGCUUGUAGGCUUUUCAUGAGGAUAAAAUAAAAUGCCAUGAGGUAGCCAUCAUUUAUUCAUUCUGCAGAUAUUUUUUGAGUACUGGUGUGCCAGGUCCUGAAGCAGGCACUGGGGAUACAGCAAUCCAUGUAGCACGUUCCGGAAGACACACAAAUCCCAUGUAGAUGGCAGCAGGCUGUUCUCAAUGGCAGUGGCGGUGGGCUGCAGCAUCUGCACAGGAUGGAAUGUCCGCCAGUUUACAGUUGGGGAAACCGAGGACUGCGCUUGGCCCUUCUCCAGCAUCUGACGCUGCCUGAAGAGCUGCAUUUGUCCUGGAGCUCCUGGGACAGCCUCUUAGUUCAUACCAGCAUCCUGGGUGCAGCGGCGGUUCCUGCAGGCUUUGAGGGAUGGUAACAGCCGUGCCAUGGGGCUGCCGGGCCCUUUGGAGAAGAAGGGAGCUGCUGUCCUCCCAUAGGCAGGAUGCUGACUUGGACCUCUGAGACUUGGGAGUCACGAAAGCCAGGCCUUCUGCUCCAGGAGCACGUGGAAGGGUGAGGUGGGGGCCUGUCCAGAGAGGGCAGCCUCAGGCCAGAGACUCCAGUGCUCUGGUGACCUCUGAAACAAACUGCUGUGUCAGGCUGGGCCCUCCUGGGUAGACUCUGGGAGCUGAGCAGGAGCUGGGGGUGCUGGGAGCUGUGCCCACCACCACCUCCUGCCCUUCCUGCAAGGGAGGUUUAGCCCAUGGUAGAAGCCACCAGCCCUGAGUAGAAACUGCAGGGAAUUUGGUGUUUUCAUAAUAUUUGAGGAAGUCGGGGGAGACAGGAAAAGACUUGUUCAGAGUAUCCCAGGAUAGGGCAAGGAGAGAAGCCGGUCCCUCCCAGGGGGUUGGGGGACCGCCAGCCCUUGGUGGGGCCUCCAUCAGAUGAACCCACUGGUUGCUAGGUCAACUGGAGGGUUGGAGCUUCAAGUCUUUCGCUGGGGUGCCGGGGAUGUCAGCUGAGGUCCGGGAUCUGUGCGUGUUCGUGGGUGUGAGUGCAGCCCAGACACCCAGCCCAGGCUUUGUCCAGGGAGAGGGGCUGUGGUGCAGCCCCCACCUGCUGCCCCCUAAAGCCCUCUGUCUUCCCUCCUGCUCCGCUGGUGUCCAUAGGUGUUGGACGGCCGCCGCUGGAUGGAGUACCCUGGUCUCUUCUCCCCAGUAGGCGUUCCCCAAAAGUGAAGCACACACAGUUCUCAUGUGUGCUGGGGUGUGUGUGUGCUUGGGCAACUGCGCUCAGCUCCAAUUCUGAGGAGAGAGGGACAGGAGGGCUUCUCUGGGGACUCAGCUCCUGAAGGUCCUAUUCUUGGUCUCUUUGUCCCUCCCCGCAAGUAAUGGAUUUUUUAAUAGAAAAGUGAACAGUUGGGGGUGGCUUGAAAGAUACUUUUAUUUCUGAGUCCCAGGGUGGACUCAGGUGCCCCAAGGUAACUGCUCACCUGCUGCCUGGAGGCUCCCUGUCCAGCCCUGGACAGGAGGGUCAAGCCUAGCACCCACCUUCCCUUUCAGUUCCUGGGCAGAACCCCUGCUGAGUAGCGGGUCUCAAGAAUGAGGAAGGGGCCAGGCGCGGUGGCUCACACCUGUAAUCCCAGCACUCUGGGAGGCCAAGGUGGGUGGAUCAUCUGAGGUCAGGAGUUUGAGGCCAGUCUGGUCUCAAACAGGCAAAAGCCCGUUGCUACUAAAAAUACACAAAUUAACCAGGCAUGGUGGUGCAUGCUUGUAAUCUCUAAGGCUAAGGUAGGAGAAUCACUUGAACCUGGGAGUUGGAGGUUGCAGUGAACCAAGAUCACACCACUGCACUCCAGCCUGGGCAGCAUAGGGAGACUCUGUUUCAAAAAAAAAAGAGAAAAGGUUGAGGAAGAUACUGCUGGGAACUCCAGCAGACACAGGGGAACCAAGCCCUGUGCUGCGUCUGGUGCUGCUGGAGUGCCACCAGGGGGGCGGGUAUGGGGGGCUACAGACAAGCCAUCCAUCAUCCCUGUUUAGGGGAGUCUUGCUUUUUGGGGCACUGGAAAUCAAGGGCUUGGAGCAGACAGGGCUCUGUUUAUCCAGAGCCGCAUUUCAGCAGCAGGGCUUUGGCAGUGAGGUUCAUCUGAUGGCCGUUUGUGUGGCUGAAAAGGGAGACUCUAGACACCCGCCGGUGCUCCGUAAACUGUGCUUCCUUUCUGGAGUGACAAGCUGGAUCCUCCCUGUUGGCGAGAGUGGCCUGCGGUUCGGGCUCUCCCCGAGGUCCUGGGCAGGUCUGCAUGGUUGUCAUUCAUCGGUGGCAGCGGACUGUAGAUCAGGGAGAUAGAAACUCCAGGAAGCCGGACUGUGGCUCUGACCUCUCUGGAUUCACCUAUAGCCAUUGAACAUUAUUUGCUUUAAAUUGGUCAUUAUGCAAAUCUGCAAGACGUAGCCACACAUUUGAGAUUUAUCCGAGUCGAAGCAUGAUGGCUUGUGCAGCAGUAUACAGGCACGUAUGUACAUGUACACACACACAGAGUCUGUCUUUCUAACUAGCCAUAUAGGAAUGAUCAAAGAACCUUCCAUGCCCCAUGAGAACCGCCAAAGAAAUGGAGUGAGCCGAGCGAGCUGGCGGGAUGGGUGUGCAUGGGUGCACCUGGGUGUGCAUGUGUGUGCCUGAGUGUGUGUGUCUGGAGCCGUCCUCGUGGCUGUGGGAACCUGGAGCAGGGAGGCGAGGGCUCAGAGCAGCUGGGAACAUGCUGUAAGGGGAAUGGCAGUGUCAGCUGGGAGGCGGAAUUGGAUAACAGGUGGUGGGUCGGACAGCAUCCCCCGGGGAAGGAAUUAAGGCCUUGCCUCUUGUGUUCUUGGAAGUGCUUGGAGGGAAGGCAGACACUGAGCUAACUGGCUGCCUGGAAGGAAGUGACCUGGGAAGCCGGUGACACCAAGUCAGGCCUGGGGGGCCCCUGCUCCCUCUGGGACCCCGGACACUGAGUGUUGCCAAGGUGGCCAAAGUGGUGAGAGGCCAGGCAGGGGCAAGGGCAGAAGGCCUGGGGUGGUCUCAGGAGGGGCCCCUGCGGCCGUGUCCUCAGCCAGGCUGUGCUUUCUUUUCUUCUCCAUGUUGCUGGGGAGCCUCCCAUCAGGCGAAUAUUGGCCUCUUGAUCCAAAACCCGAAUACUCUGGCCCCUUCUGUCUUUCUGGGUAGAUGUGCCCCUCUGGCAGGGAUGAGGGAGAGGGCAGGGAAUGGGGACCCUGGACACCCUUCCCAGAGUGGGAUUCUGAUCCCUGCUCUUAGCAUGAUGCAGGUGCAAGGAUCGACAUGGACUUCUUUCUUUUUAAAAAUAAGCCAAAUCAAAGAUGCUCUGAGCAGUGGAGAUGAAAAGGUAGAGCAGCGUUGUCUGCCCCCUUCUGUGCUCCUUCCCCCCAGGAUUCAUUAUUGUUUUUCUAGAACAAGAAGGAAAGAGUUUUAUUUGUAGGAACUUUCUUUCUUUCUUUCUUCCCCCCCCCCCCCCUUAAUGAUGUGGUGGGUGGCGGUGGUAGCAUGUUUUUAUUUUAUGUUAUUUUUUGUCCCUUGCUGCUUUGGGGGAGGGUGGUGGUGUUUGAGUUUGGGGUGCGGGUGUUGGGAAAGGAGUUCUCUUGGAGAGGAGAGAGGAGAGCAGAUGUUACUCCCCCAUGUCUAGAAGGUGGGGGGAGGGCGUCACUGCUCAGGAGGUGAGGAAGGACCCGAGUUAUGUAAGAGCUUCAAGGAGGCGGCUCGGGGGACUAGACAGAGUCUGAGGACACAGGCUUGCACCCUGAGCCCUGGGAAGGCAGCCAGGUGCAUCUGCAGGGAUCCUGGUGGCUGUGGUGGGGCAGGUGCGGCGAGGGCAGGUGGAUGGCAGGAGUCAGGGUUGGCAGGGGAGGCAUGGAGGGUGGGGCACCCCGGCAGGAGGAGCAGACUUCUCGAAGCUGCAAGGGGGGCUCCUGAUCUUCCUGCGCCUUCUUUCUCUUUUCUCCUCUUCAUUCUCUGCUUCUCUGUCACCUCCUUCUCCAAAUCAGUGCCCCAGUGACUGGGGAGACAGCUCCCCCGUUUUCUGUAUUUCCUCGAUGCCUCCUUCCACCAGCAAUCACCGCGCUGAACAGAGUCAGCCCACGGCGAGGGCCCAAUGUGCCAGCCUGCCUGAGCUCACAGCUUCCUUGGGGGCUGAUUCUGGUACUUUUCCGUUGUAUAGAUCUCCAGGUUUCUUCCACGAGGCUAGAUGAAAUGCCACGCAAGUGAUAGUGAGAUAGGGACUGGCCAGUGUCGGUCCAGGUACUACACCAACCAGCCCUCUGGGCUCAGCUUAGUCUCUGGCAACAUGGAAGUGCCUGACCCCUAGGGUCACUGUGAGGUUAGAGCAGGACCGUCUGUGGGCCUUACCUCCACCUUAGCACACUGGAGGAGCUGUCACUGCCCAGGGAUGGGGUGAGGGGCGUUUCAGAGCCUCUGCUCCGAGGUGCACGUUUCCCUUGCUUGGUGCUAGAGUUCCUCUGACUACCCCCUCUCAGGCUGCUUGGGGGCACCCUGGCUCGGGAGAAGGGGGCUAACCCUGCAUCCCACCCUUGCCCCACCCGGCCCACCCUGGCUGUGUCUUUCCUUGUUGACCAGUAGCUCUGAAUUACUGCUGGACGGUAGCCAAGAAUCACACCGUGCUGUGGAAUUCAAGCUCCAUCUGCACUAAUGAGUUAAUGGGCUUUGUACCCGAGACCGUGGGGCUGGAACAUGCGCUGCAUGCUUAAUCUUCACUGAGCAUUUCAUCUACCUUGGUUGGUGUUUAUUUAUCAGCUUGUUUGUUUAUUCCUUUUCCUCGGAGGCCCUGAUCAAGGAGGAGCUGGUGAAGGAGGGAGUGUGAAGUUGGCAAGAAGGGCUUGGUUUUGCUCUGUUCUGAGUGGCUGAAGCCUACCCCGCGAGAGACGGAGGGUGUUGAGCACCUGUGUGGUUCCGAGGGGGUCCUGCUUGUCAGGGGUGGAAAUCUACCCUCAGAGGGGGGUGAAUGCUGAGGUUUCAGGUAGCCUUUCGCUGGGGGCCACUGUGAUGCAAUUUUGGGCGGCUUAUCUGAGCUUUUGCUUAUCAGGGAGUCACAGUGAAGGCAGCAUUGGGCUCACAGAGCCUUGCAGAUGCAGCAAACCCGCACCUGUACUGUCCUGUGGUCCUGGCACAGAGAAGAUGCUCAGGAAGCCGUGGCGGAGGUGAUUUCAUGCUGGUCUCCUGGUGGUUUUGGAAAAUCACUCAUUACCAAGGUUGCAGAGAUAUGGUUCUGAGCAUUGGAUGUAUUCUCCUUUACGGCUUAGCUGCCGGAUGCUGGGUUACAUGUGUCCGAAUGGUUGUCUUUUAGGCUUGGGGUUGUGGUUCUGAGGGAGGCAGCUGUGACGCACAGGGGUCUGUGCCUGCCUGGACCCGGAUGGCAGCUGCCGGCCACAGGAGAGAGCUGGGGAACUGACAUGUGCAGAGUGAAAAACGCAGACCAACUCCAAGACCCAGAACACACACAAAGCAUGUGAAACGCAGGACCAGUAACGCUUAUACAGAUUUUACAUAUUGACCCAAAAUAUUUGGAAUAUAUUGGGUUAAAUAUGUGAUUACAAUUAAUUUUACUUGUUUUGUGAAAAAAACCCUUAGAUUUCGAGACGGGGUCUCUCCCUCUGUUGCUUAGGCUGGAGUGCACUGGCGUGAUCUCGGCUCACUGCAAUGCAACCUCCGCCUCCUGGGUUCAAGCAGUUCUCCUGCCUCAGCCUCUGGAGUAGCUGGAAUUAUAGGCACCCACCACCACGCCAGCUAAGUUUUGUGUUUUUAGUAGAGACGGGGUUUCACCACGUUGGCCAGGCUGGUCUUGAACUGCUGACCUCAGGUGAUCCACCUGCCUCAGCCUCCCAAAGUGCUGAGAUUGCAGGUGUGAGCCACCACGCCCAGCCUAGAAAACUUAAAAUUGCCCGUGGGACUGGCAUGCUAUUUCUGUCAGACAGACUGGUCCAAACCCAGCUUCCUGCACAAUUUCAUUCCCUUCUCCUUGGCACUUGCUAACAGCAUUGGGGCACCCCUGUGAGUCUGCGAAGGGCAGCUAGGAAGGGUGAAGCUGCUCUGCCCUUCGGGAGAGACCCCUGAGCUGUCUGAAUUUGUGUCUGCCCCAGUUAGAUACUGCUAGCGUUUUCAGGAAACAAUUUCCAGCUUUGUAAAUAUCCAUUGAAAAAAAUAAAAAGGAAUCUAUUAUUUUGUCAACCUUCACAACAACCUGAACUUAUAAAACACCUCUCACAUGAAGGUCUCGGAGCGCUGCACGAUAAACAAUACAUGGAAAAAAAGUUGGCGUUCUCCUGGAGUUUCAGGGCAGCAGAGGACGUGCUUUCGUUCUGUGAAAAGAAACACUUACAGGAAGGCCCCAGCAGCCCCUUGUGGGGAUCCUGGAGGAGCUCCGUGCUCCGUGGCCCACCUGGUGACAUUGGCAGGAGGUGUCACUCUGCUCUCAAAACUGGUGCCAUCCAACGUGAGGGCCCUGCGACAAGCAAAAGAGAGAACGGAGAGGGACCCUGCUGGGGAGAUGAAGAAAGGUAACUGAUCAGAACAGAAAGGGCUGAGACAAAGCCAGACCUUCCACUAAAUCCUGCUCCAGGGUGGCGGUGUCUUGCCAGGAGCUGGGUGGGCCUGAAGAACUAUCUUGAGGCCUAGGGGUCUGAUGGCAACAGCGUAACUGACUGGGGUACAGAGAGAGCCGCGGCGGCUUUCCCGUCACCAUCACGUGGGCUUGUGUGUCAAGGGGAGAAGCUGUGUCCCUUCCGCUGUUCUUGGCUUUAGGUCCCUGGAGUGCUAAGGACAGAGCUGCUUCCUCCCAAGGGACAGGCGGACCCGCUGCGGGCCACAGGCUCCAGGCACCAUGGGCACUUUGUAUACCGAGUAGGGUGGUACAUUGUAAGCUUCUCUUAUUUUUAUUUUCUCGUUUUUGACAUUGUCCUUCAGUUCCUCUUCCACGCUCCCCGUUAAGCUGUUAAAUCACUCCAUUUAUUUAGUGUGAGUGUUUCUGAGAGCUCAUUUUUAUCUUGGUGAAAACCAGGCUUGCUCAUGGGCACAUAAUGAAAUUGCAUAAAUAUACCCUUAGCUUGGAAUCUAAUUUAUUUUUCCUGUUCAUUAUGGGGUAGAAGGCCAUUAUGAAAUGUAUAACUUUUUUUUUCCAGUGCUGGAAUUGAAAGGCUGUGGCUUGGGCUCUUUUUAUUCUGAUGAUUUUGUCCUGAUUCAAUUUAAAGCUGGUUAGAGCUCAAAUACUGGAGCGUAAUUGACAAAGAUCAGUGUGGGUUGUAACACUAAUGUCUCGUCUGUGGCUGCUGCGGCUCAGCAAGCACUCGGGUUAAGCUGCAGUUCCUCGGAGGAUACCGGGGCCUGCAGAGCCACCCAGGCCUCAAGGAGAGGGGUGAGAGGGAACUUUCCUGCCACUCGUGGUCCUGGGUGUCCAGCUGGGACGCUCGGAAGUCGACUCCAGCUGGCACUAACUGGAUUGUUCAGCUGAGGAUGCCACCGACCCUAAACUCUCGGAAAUGCUUAGAAACCUGUUCAAGAAUGUUUCUUUGACCUCUGCUUUUACAGAUGGGAGCACUGAAGCUCCAGAAGGUCGAGCAAUCCACAACCUCCAGGCCCAAAUGCAGCCCACGUCCAUGUACUAUGGCAGUACACGCGUGACAUGGAGCCUCCCUUUGGAAGCAGUGGCCUGGGCCCCUCUGUACGGGGGAGUGUGCAUUGCGUGGGAGGAGAGGACAGAAGGAGCACCUGGCAGUGGGCAGACCCCCCAGGAUGCCAGCUUUGGGGUAGAUGUGGGGCAGUCCUGCCUGACAUGCUGAGGAGGAGCCUGGGACUGGGGCCCGGAUGCCUUGUGUCUUGAGGAAGUGGGUGCCAGCCCCACUGCCGUGCGCCAGGGCCCACACUGUUCAUUUGUCUCCCUGCAUUUGCCAGCUCCCUUCCCUGUGCUGGGCACCACCAGGCUGGGACACAGCGCUGGAAAGCCCCGGACCCUGCUUCAGAGGCUCAGGUCUCAGCAGGAUGAGUUUGAAGCGACAUCCUGGCUCUCAGGUCUGAGCCACGCUGAACGUCGGCGUCCAUAGAAAUGCUGGGGCAGAGUCAGAAUGUUCUUGGAGGGUGAUAAGUGGUCGACACCUGUGAGUGUGUGUGUGUACGUGUGAUUAUCGGGAGGAGGAGGCAUCACCCUGGACACAGCAGGUUUUCAUGAGGAAGGAGAGGAGGUGGAUCCAUUAAAAUGGCAGAGGUUGGUGAAGCUUUCCUCCUUUUCCUCCCUUUGUCCCUCGGGUUGUCAGACAAGACACAGGCCAUGCAGUGAAAUUCGGAUUUCAGAAGAAAGACGGAGGUUUUUUGUACAGGUAUGUGCCACACAUCGCCUAUCGCAUGAGACCUGCUUACACUAAACACCGAAGCAAAACCGUGCUGUUCAUCUGAGACUCAAAGUUAACCGUGCCCCGUGUUCCUGUUCCCUACAUCUAGGACCCUACCUGCCACAGCACAGAGACUUGAGAGGCUUUACUUUGAAAUCAUGGUCUUGGUCAUUUAAAAAUUCAGUUGCGAGAGCUAUAAAGUUGUUUGUUCUUACAACACAGAAAAUUAAUGGUCUGCUUUCUCCCUCCCCGGAUCCAAUGCUUCUGGGGCGACCUCUGACCUCCAGUUGUUAGCCACUGUUAACUUGAAGUUGUUAACCAAUGUCUCCUCCCAAACCAGUGCAGAGACCCUGCCGUGCACCACAUGCAGGUUUCCUGGAGAAAAUCCCACCAAUAGACUUACUGGGGCAAGGGUCUGUGCGUCUUACAUUUUAACCUAAAACUAUACCUGGGUUACUUUAUAAAAAGUCAAAAGUAUUGACAUCCCUCCACACUGUGUGAGUCUUUGUUUUAUUCCCACACCAACACCAGUUCUUAUUUGUUUCCACUCGAGACGGCACCUCACUCUGUCCCCCAGGCUUGAGUGCAGUGGUGCAAUCGUGGCUCACUGCAGCCAUGACCUCCUGGGCUCAAGUGAUCCUCCCACCUCAGCCUCCCAAGUAGCUGGGACUCCAGGUGUGCGCCACCAUGCCCUCCUAAUUUUUCUAUUUUUUUGUAGAGAACUGCUUUUGCUAUGUUUCCCAGGCUGAUCUCAAACUCCUGAGCUCAAGCAAUCCUCCUGCCUCAGCCUCCCAAAGUGCUGGGGUGACAAGCGUGAGCCACCACACCUGAGCAGUUUUUAUUUCUUAUUUUUCAUUCUGAGCAUAUAAAACAUCUCAUUUUAGUUGCAUCUCCCAGUUGAGGAAGGUUGAGUAUUUUGUGUGCGUUUCUUGGUCAUUUGCAUGUGUAUUUCUGUGAACAGCCUGUUCACAUACAUUUUCCUUGUUUCCAUGGGGUCGUUUUCUUAUUAAUUUCAGGGUACUCUUUACAUAUGGGUCAUACCCAUGCUUGGCUUUAUAUACAGUGUUGACGUUGCUUCUGGGCCGCUGUGAUCAGACCCUCCCCUGAUCUCUGGGGCUGAGACCUGAGCUCACUGUGAUGGCCUUCUGGGUCUCCUGGGAAUGACAGAUGUCCAGCCCACACAUGGGCACCUGUUGCCUGCCAAUCUCAUCUUGGGUAUGAAGGAACCACACAGAGCCCAAGAUCCUCUAUGAAUGCAUUGCCGGUACUGCCCUAAAGGCAGGGGUUGGCCAGGAUGAUUCUCAAAGCCCACCCGCCUUUCCUCUCCUGCUGUUACUGGGCCCAGGGAAAGCUCAGCUCCAGAGCAGGGAACCUGGCCUUGGAAGGGAGGUGGCACAGAGGCUUCCUGCCCUGACUGGUCGUCCCUGCCUUCCCCAAGGCCAAAUUUUCCCUUCACCACAGGGAGGUGCCUCAUGGGCUCCCAGGUGGGGGGCAGGGGCAUAGAAAGGAAAACCUCCAGCUGCCUGUCUCUGCUGAAGCCAGGUCAUCUGUGCAUCGUUCAUUCCUCUGUCCAUCCAAAUGGCUUAGUUAAAUUCCUGCUGCACGCCAGGCACACACAGAGGCUCCUGAUGCCACAGGGCCAUUAGCCUGCGGGAGAGAAGACUCAUUGUGUUGUUGCGUGUAUUCACUACAGCCAGGGAAGGGGCGGCUCCUCUUCGGGAGGUUUUACAUGUUGGGGUUUGUGUUUGCAACAUAGUCAAAUGGUGAAAGGACAGCCCGGCUCAAGGGGAAGAGCUGACUGGCGUCUCUGCCCAACCCCUGUGCUGGGCUCCAGAGUGCUGCGUGUGGAGACCCUGCCCAGUGCUGCCUCCACCAGCACCCCCACUCACAGUGCACGAUGCACAUCUGAAGGGAAGCAUCUACCCUGCCCCCACUAGCCUGUCCUCCUGGGACACUUGGGGUCCAUUCUGUGACUUGCUGUGUAGGAGGGACAGUGACCACCUAGGGCUGGCCUGGCCCAGGAGCUAGGCACAGAGGGACUCACCUCCUCAAUUUGGGGUAGAGAGGCAAGGGUCAUAAUUGGAGCUGGGAGCCUUGGGGGACUGGGGAGAGGGUAGGCCUGUCACGUUGCUCCCCAGUUUCAAGGUCUGUCAUGGGCAGGAGGAAGUAGAUUUGUCCCUUUUUGUUCAAAGGCAGAAACAGGACCUGUGGGCGAGGGUUCUAGGGAAACAGAACUUGGCCAGUCUAAGGGAGUCGUUUGUCCAGCAUGGCCCAGGAGGAGCAAGGACCCUGUCCCCUCUUUGGCAUUGUGGGGGACACCCACUGUGGCAGGCUGGCUGUGUACCCCUCAUAGCCAAAUCCUAACCUCCCACACAUGUGAAUGGGGCUUUACUUGGAAAUAGGGUCUUUGUCAUCAAGUUAAAAUGAGGGUGGGCCCUAAAUCCAAUGGCUGGUGCCCUUCUAAAAAGAGGGGAGGACAGAUGUACAGGAGAGGGCCCAUGAGGACAGAGGCAGAGCUGGGAGUGAUGGGGCCACAAGCCAAGUGCACUGAGCACUGCUGGUAACGCCAGGGGAAAGGGAGGAGCCUUCCCUAGCAUCUUUGGAGGAAGCAGGGUGCUCCCCGCACCUUGAUUUCAGACCCUGGCCUCCAGAACUGUGAGAAGAUAAAUGUGUGUUGCUUUCAGCCAGCACGUUUGUGGUGAUUUGUUAUGGCAGCCACACAUCACACACAUGCCUGCCAAGCAGGUCCCUGUCCUGCUUCCCGGCUCCAUCAGAGGAUGGAUGAUAUAGUGUGGGCCUCUGCAAAGUGCUAAUCCAGGGCGGGGCACACUUGCCCUGUGGCUGGUUCCUUCAGUGGGAAAACACCCGUGGCUGAGGAGGCCCAAGGGUGACAGGCUUUCCAUCAGGGCAGUGGAUCACCGUUGGCGGGGCUGAGGCAGCCAAGGUGGGUGUUUUGGAGCUGUAAUUAAACAGGGCCACUGGGCUGGCAGAUUAUAGAUGCCCAGGCUUCCUCAGUGCUGUAUUUUACUGGAACACACAUAACCUGGCCUCUGCAGGGCAAGACAAGGGCACGUCUGACAGUGAUUAGAAUAAUGGGGUGGGCUGGGUGUCGUGGCUCACACCUGUACUCCUAGUACUUUGGGAGGCUGAGGCAAGUGGAUCAUUUGAAGUCAGGAGUUCGAGACCAGCCUGGCUCACAUGGUGAAACCCCAUCUCUACUAAAAAUACAAAAAUUAGCGAGGCAGUAGUGGUGCACACCUGUAAUCCCAGCUACUUGGGAGGCUGAGGCAGGGGAAUCACUUGAGCCUGGGAGGCAGAAGUUGCAGCGAGCUGAGAUUGUGCCACUGUACUCCAGUCUGGGCAACAGAGUCAGGGUGUCUGAGACUGGACUGCCUGGCCAUAGGGAUUGCAGCUCUCUCUCCCUGGCCAGCUUAAUUCUAGCCAGGAAUGGAAUUUGGGAGAGGGAAGGGAGAGCGGGCCUGUUGAUGCUUGGGAAGCUGUGGAGAGAGGGCCCCAUGGAGAUGACCCUGCCGCUGCUGGUCAUGGGCAGGGGUGCAGUGGUUGGGGGAGCUGUGGAGGGGGUUUGUGACUGAGGGGGAGCAGAGACCAACCCGUGGCCCCUCUCUGUGUGGACUCUUCCCACCCUGUUCCUUGGAGUAAGUGGCAGAUGGUGGCCCUUGAAAAUGCAGACAGCUCAGCACUGCAGGCUUCCUGGGCGUAGAGGACAGGUUAUUCCUGUGUCAGGAUGACUGUCACCAACACAGACAACCUUGCCUAGUUAGGCAUGCUGUGUCUUUGCGGGCUGGCUAUCCCGAGCCCCCAGAAUGUGGUCUGGCCAGGCCUCCCAGCCAUGCAGCUGACCUGCAAGCCCAGGAAACUUGGAGCGGCAAGCAGCCCCCUUCUACCCUGUGGGUCAUCUGAGGGCCUCAUUCAUUUGGGGUGAUUCACUUGGGCAACAGGGGAGAAAGUGAAGGAAUCGAGAGCUUGGAGGCCACUGUUCCCUCAUGACACUCUCCGAAGGCAGGUAGGAGCGAGCUUUGCUGGAGAGAGGCCUUGCUGGUGUGCUGACUUCCGGGACCCUCUGUCAUCCUCCCUCUUCUCCUGACCUAUGGGUGAUCCCCAGAUCCCACCAAUGAGACAAAGUGUCUUUCGGGGGAGGGAGGACAGGAGUUGGCUUCUGUAAACAGCACUUGGCUUCUGAGAGGGACCUUGGGGUGCUGCCGUGGAGCUCCGGCUUCUAGCCCAAGGGGGAGGCUGAUGCUGAGGGCAGCAGAGCAGGCAGGGGACAGGACCCGUGUCCUUGUGGCAUAGAGAGGGAGGGGCUGAAUUACCUGGCCUGCAGCUGCCACAGCCUGGACUUCCUGUCACAUGACCAGCACGCUUCCUUGUGGCUUCAGCAAGUUUGGGUCAGGUUUCUGUUGGUGCAGGUGAAAGUAUCCUGAUUCAGCUGGGAUUCCUCUGGGUGUAAGAGCUGCCCGCAUGGCAGCCCCCAAGAGCUGAGUCUCCCAUGCUUCUCCCCUCAGCCCUCGUCUCUCUGGGCCCAGUCCCUGGGGCACUUGUCAAACCGACUUCCAAGGAGGGCGACCACCUCCCUCUGUCUCCAUUUUGCACGUGGCAGGUGGGCAUUUUCCUGAAGGGGCUUCCCUAAAGCACAUUGAGAAGGGAAACUGGAAUUAACUGGGGAGACCUGAUAUGUGACCAGUGAUGUUUGAUGAGCAUGAUUUCAUCUCCAGAUGCCACUGUUAGGUCACGGGUGGGUCUGGGGGCUGGCAUGGCAAAGAGUGUUCACUGCUGGUUCUACCCCCGGAGUCACCCUCUUUCUUGGAUUUGCUACCAAGCUUCAGGGACCAGUGGUGUGGAACCGCCUCUGGCCAUUUCCGAGGUUGGACUGGAGAGGGUGUCAGCCCCUCUAGGACCUGGGGAUCACUGGGCAGACCCCACAGAGCUCCCAUUUCAUAUGUGAGGGAAGCAUCUCGCUCUUCCCAGAGCCGAAGUGAGUCCUGUGGGACCCCCUUGGAUUCGUUCUAACCCCUCCCACCUCCCUCUGACGACUGCAGUCCUACAGCCUCAGAAAUAUCCAGACAACGUCCCACCUGCAGGGAGGGGCAGGCAGCCCUGCAGAACAGUGACGCCGGCUCCUCCUGAAGCCGUCACCAGCUAUGGGCAAUGGGGUGUCCUGUCUCAAGCCAGAUGACAUUUUGGUUUUUUGAUAUUGUAGAAUUUGGACUAAAGAGAGAAAACACGUUUGUUUGCAAAGGGCAUUUUCAUACUGAAUGCUUAAUUGCCAGUUUCCGUGUUGAGAAAUUUCCUCUCCUGCCCUCAACCAUCCCUUGGGUAGUUGCUGUCUAAUUCGGCCAUUUAAAAAUGCUGUUGUGGAAGAAUACUUAAUGAUUUGGUAUGACAUAGAGUUAAAAGGGAAAAAGUUACAAAAUGGAAUGUACAGUAUGAUCCCACUUAGAACCCAAAAUAUACAUUCUAUGCAUAGGAAAGUCUGGGAGUGUAUAUAUGCUCAAAAUUUUCACAGGAGUUAUUUCGGGUUAGUGGGAUUAUGGGUUAUUUUUAUUUUCUUCUUUUUGCAUAUGUGUAGUUUCUAAAUUUUCUACAGUGAAUAUGUAUAACUUUUAUAAUAAGGAAAAAGUGAUACCACAGAUCUUUCUAGAGGCUGCUCAGACUCCCUGGCCAGAGAUGACCCAGGCUGCCCUCCCAUGCUGCAAAGCGCCCAUGACCAGCCCCUGGGCUCCCCAGUGGGGCCACAUCCUGAGAACUUCCCGUUCCCCGUCGCUGGGUAUCAAUGCCUCAUGCUCAGGGGCCCCUGGCGGUGCAGAGUUGAUGCUGGUUUUUGUUAGGGUUGAAGUAAUGGAAAUGCUUUUCAGAAAACUCCCCCAGUUGGCCGGGAGAGAAAGAAACAGUCAUGGAAGCCCAGAGGCCCCACCCCGGCAGGUGCAGACUGUGCUGAGCACAGAGCCAUGGGUUUGAUGUUGAGCACGGAGGGGUGGGUUUUCAUGGCCACCCUCAAUGGCAGCGUCACCAUUCCUGUUCUGCUGCCACCAGCCAAUGGGCAUGGCCAGGUGCAGCCUUGGGAGGAUUUUUGAGGUCUGGACUCGACUCUCUGCCUCCAGCUGGGGGGGGGGGGGGGGACAAAGAACUCAGCCUGUCCCUGCCCUGGGGCCAUUCUGCAAAGGAAACAUGGGGCAGAGGCCAUGAAGUAGAGCAGGCAUGAAAUGCCCGGUUCAAAUCCCAGCUCCCCCAGCUGGUUCUUAGGAACUUCUCUAAGCUCAGUUUCCUUCAUCUAGAGAAUGGGGACAAUGCUUCCUUCACAGGCAUGUGAAAGCUGAAAGAAAUGAUGAGAGUCAGGACCUUGCGUGGACCUGAGACAGGGCAAGUGCUGCGUCUUUCUUUCCUUGAAGGAAUGCUGCCUCCAGCUGGGGACUGCCCUUUCCCUUGGUGUAAACUGGUAAAGUCCGCUGCCAGAGCUUCUGUCUGUCAGCUGAAUCAAACACACACCUGCUGAGAGCAGUUUCGGCAGGGGCUGCCCCUUCUCCAACAUGCAGCAUGCAUGUGUGCACACACUCACACACACGUGUUUAAUAGUCACCUGAGGAAAGAGGGUCACGGGGCAGGAAUCGGUGCCUGUGGCCUUGUCUGUGUCCCAGGAUUAUAGAAGGUUAUUGCCCUGGCAAUGUGAGGGCAGCAAGGCCAAGACUCUGUGCCCCAUGCCCUCUUUCCACCUUGUCAACAGUGGGGACAGAGGCAGGGGCCCCCGGCUGCUCCUUCCUGAAGAGCAAGCUCCCUGUGGUGGCAUCUGUGGCUCCCAGCCUGGAGCGUGGACCUCCACUGCUGACUAGGUUACUUCCACUCCUCCAGCCUCCCAAAUGUGGCCCACUCGCCUUGGAUCUGACCCUUUCUGUCCAUAUCUGUAGCCACUGCACCAUUAUCAGCUCUGGCCGAGCCUCCCUGCCUGCAACCUGGUUCCUCCUCUGUCCGAAUCCAGAGGCUUCUCUGCAACGCAAAUUAACUCACCUGGGCCCCACCUCAGCCCCCUCUGUGCUGCCCCAGGCUCUGCAUGGAGUCCCAGCCUGCAACUGGCUAGCCUCGGGCUAAGUCUUCUGCCUUUAGGAGCUGCAUGGGAUAACGUGUACAAAGUGGAAACUGAGCCUUUCUUUUCCUCCUCCCUCUUCCCCUUUCCAGGGCAGUUAUUCACACUCAGAUCAUUUGCCCUGAGGACAACUUUGUGAAGUCAGGUGAGAGGCUCCAGGGUAAUUCUGGUGCUGCCACCUGAGAAGAAAUUAAGCCAAGAUCUAAAAGAAUCCCCACACGUGGCAGGGGGUCAUCUGUAUUCAGGUCUGCCUUACUUUGUGGGAACCUGAGCCCCUGACGUGCACACCCCUGGAGGUCCCUCCCCGGCAGCAGCUGGCCCCUCUGGCAGGGUUUGCUGCAGCCGGCACUGUCCGGCCUGCUGUGUGCGGAGCAGUGGUCAGCGGCCCCGGUGGUCAGCUGUGAGGGAUGCAUCCCUGAUGAAGGUGAGUCAUGGAGAACGUGAUUGAUUUGCCCAAAUUGCAUGGACACAGAUUUUCAGGAACCCAUCUGGGCUUCAUGAGAGGUAGAGCUCUUUCGAUUCUAGAUUCCCAGGGAGCUUAUGUUCUGGGGAAACUGGGUGCGUUUGCUGCCAAAAAGGGCUUUAUUUUUAGCUAAAUGUGAGGAGGAGAGGAGGGUCCCCUUGGAAGGCUGCCAAGGCUGGUGUUGGGACUGGCCUUAGAGGGGCCCAUCACCGUCUUACUUUUGGGAAAGGUUUUCCCUUCUGCAAGCACCGACGUGGGCUGAGAUGUGAGGGCAUGGCCAGGGUGGGUUAUUCCGCCUCCCCCAUGAACUCAGAUGAAUACCAAAAGCAGCCAGCCAGCACACGUUCUAAAUUUACAGGGCGCUUGUCCUUCACUGGCUGCCGAAAAGUGAAGCUGCCUCGGAUGCUAAGAACGCUCAGCCGCCAAGCUGCCCAGGCCCACCUGCUUGCUGGGGCCGCCCUCGUCCGCACACUCAGCCAGCCUCCUCAUGUCCACCUGGGGCCUCCGGGCGGCGAGCAGAGGCUGAAAGGGAGGGUGGGCACCUGCACUGCAGACCCUCCUGGGAUGGCGGCAGGAGUCCCUCCCCCAUGGGUUGAAAUUCUGUCUGUGAGAACCUAACCUUCUUCCUGUGAUACCUGCUCUUCCCUGGCAACCCUCCUUGCCAAGGACCAUCCAGAAAUAGCCCCUCUGGGGCCUCCCUGUACAGCAAAGCAGACGUCUCCUCCCACUACCAGUCACAGCAGCCAGAGGAAAUUCUGCCACCAUUUUCCCGGAGCUGGUCUGCAGCCCCUCCCGCUGGGAACCUGUUCCUGGAGCCAUCCCUCUGCACACAGAGAGCCCAGAGUGCCUCGGGGAAAAUUGGCGGAAUAAAAGCCGAAUGAGAAUGGACAAAUACAGCCAUCACUGACACCUUAGCAAUACUGGACCCUCUGACUCAUAAACAAGGUAUUUCUCUCCAUUUAUUUAGAACUUCUUUAAUUUCUCUCAUCAAUGACUUGUGGUUUUCAGUGUAUGGAUUUUACACAUCUUUUCUUAGAUUUAUUGCCAAUGUCAUUCGUAUUUUAAUGCUUCUUAAAAUGAUAUUUUUCUUUCCGUUUCUGAUUGAUUAUUGUUAGUGUAUAGAAAUAAAAUAGAUUUUUGUACAUUGAUCUUGUGUCCUGCUAAAUCCAUUUACUAGUUCUAGUAGAUUUUGUGUCAAUUGCAUCAGGUUUUCUACAUAAAUGAUUGUGUUAACAAAGACAAUCUUAUUUUACAAUAAAUACAGCCCCAAUGUGCCCGGGGCUGUAUUGUUCCUGCUACUAAGGCAAGACUCUGCAUGCUCUACCCAGUGCCCCAUGAACAGUAAAGAGUUCCCCCUGGUCCAAUCUGACUAGUGAGGACUGAGCUACUCCUGGCCCUGUGAGGGUGCUGAGCACUGGGUCCCUAGUCCCUCGUCCCUCCAGGGAGUUCUUGCCUCAGCCUUGGGUGACUUCCUCCCAAGCUUGUGCUGAUCAGUGCUCAGCUGAGUGCUCAGUGGGACCCUCUGAGUAUCUAUAGAGCUCUUUCUCUGUCCAGCUCCUUCUCCCUGCUCUGUCUUACAACUCUAGCCACCUUGUCUCCCCACCUCUCAGCCCUGUCUCCUCAACUCGGGAGUACAUGAGGCUUCACGUGGGGUCCCUGCACCUGAAAACUUCCUCCAGUCAGCUGGGACGAUUGUGCCACUCCUCUAUGGCCAGCGCUGGGGGUCGCUGCACUUCAUGGUGUCUUGUUCAGUGUCAUGAAAACUAUUCUUCAGCUUGUUAUUGUUCUAGGAGGCAGGCACAUCAGUCCCCAUUUCUCCAUCUUGACCAGAAGCAGAACACUUUUCUUCGUCACACCAGAUCCGUCUCCGCAGUAACUGCCUGGCUGCUGGAACACAUCCAGGCACAUACACAGGCUGGGCCUGGCCCUUGUCCCUAAUCCCCUUCGGGGGAAAGGAGUGAGCGUGCAGGGCUGUCAGAAGCACUCGUGGGCCUGGGACACACAGUCCUAGUGUAGAGACAAACACCUUUGCUUCCCAGGCCUUGAGAAGAGCCUCCUCUCCUCAACGGGGAGCACUCUGCAGGAGCCAGGACUUAGCUCUGGAGGCUUAACAAGGCGCUUCACAGCGUUUCUUCUCAGGAAAAUUUUGAUUGUAAAGAAUAAGGAGAGUUGGGUGCCAUAGCUCAUGUCUGUAAUCCCAGCACUUUGGGAGGCUGAGGUGGGCAGAUCUCAAGGUCAGAAGAUCGAGACCAGCCUGGCCAAAAUGGUGAAACCCCAACUCUACUAAAAAAUAUAAAAAAUUAUUGGUGGCACAUGCCUGCAAUCCUAACUACUUGGGAGGCUGAGGUAAGAGGCAGCAGUUGCAGUGAGCAGACACUGUGCCACUGCACUCCAGCCUGGGUGACACGGCGAGACUCCAUCUCAAAAAAAAAAAAACGAAUAAGGAGAGAAAGAGAGAGAGAAACAAUACCUCCAACUCUCAAAGAUUGGGUGGUGGGGAAUGUCAGAUACCAGGGAGAAGGGAAUCUAGAGGCCCCCAGCAAACGUACCAGCCUCUCUCUCACCACGUGCCACUGCGCCUCCAGGUACACCCUCCUCGCCCUCAGUGAGAAUAGCUGAAGAGGACCCAUGGGAAGCUAAGCCUGCUUGGUGUUCCAAAUCACGAUCCCUGCACCUGCCUCAGCUGGCUCAGGCACACUCAAUCCUUUAUCUGGACACAGUAUCUCCCACUGACAAGGAGCUUGGACACAGGUUACUGCAAGUGACACCUGCCAUCCUGUGUCAUCCUUGCAAUAGGCCUAUUUGGAAGGCAGGAGCAGCGCUGGUGUCCCCAUUCUACAGAUGAGGAAACUGAGGCUUAGGAUGGGUCAGGCAUUUGCCCAGGCCCACGUUGGAAGUGGCCAAGGCAAGGCCACAGCCCUCAUUGUUCCGGCUUCUUUUCACACUGAGAGUCUCCCUGGAGAGGUCCAGGCUCCCUGUAGGAGACUGCAGAUGUCAUAAGCUUGAAUUUCUGAGCCUACCCCCAUCUGUGCCUCCUCAUGCCGCCCCAAAGGAGCUCUCUGACCAGUGGGAGACACAGAGGACGCACAUGAGCUCUCCUCUCUGCUUUUUUUCUUUUCGUUUCUUUUCUUUUCUUUCUUUUUUUUUUUUUUUUUGAGAUAGAGUCUCGCGGUGUCACCCCAGCUGGAGUGUAGUGACACCAUCUCAACUCACUGCAACCUCUGCUUCCAGAGUUCAAGAGAUUCUCCUGCCUCAGCCUCUUGAAUAGCUGGGAUUACAGGCAUGCGCCACCAUACCCAGCUAAUUUUUGUAUUUUUAGUGGAGAUGGGAUUUUGCCAUAUUGGUCAGGCUGGUGUCAAAUUCCUGCCUACCUCAGCCUCCCAAAGCGCUGGGAUUACAGGCAAGAGCCAACACACCCAGACCUGUCCUUUCUGUUUUGUUUUGGUUUGGUUUGUUUUUUUGUUAAGACAGAGUCUCACUCAGUCAUGCCAUGGUGCGAUCUUGGCUCACUGCAACCUCUGCCUACUGAGUUCAAGCCAUUCUCCUGCCUUAGCCUCCCAAAUAGCUGGGAUUACAGGCACACACCACGAGGCCCAGCUAACUUUUUGUAUUUUUAAUAGAGAUGGGGUUUCACCAUGUUGGCAAGGCUGUUCUUGAACUCCUGACCUCAAGUGAUUUGCCCGUCUCAGACCUCGCAAAAAGCUGGCAUUACGGGCGUGAGCCAUCGUGCCUGGUCUUCUCCUGUCCUUUGAGAGACCAUUUCCACUGUCACAGUUGCUAGCGUCCUAGCUUCAUAGGACUGCACGGCUCCUGCCUCACCAGAGGGUUCUGUAAUACGCGUCAGGUGGUAGGAGUGCUUGGUGUACACAUGCAUGUGUUUGGGCUAGUGCAUCAGUUCAGCUUCUGUGGUGGGGGAAAUAAAGAGAUGCCCCAGAAUGUUGACCACAAAGGGUUAACGCAAACUCUCAGCCACGUCUGACUCUGAGAAGGCCAAAGCUGCUUUGCUCCACAUCAGGGAUGCAGCGUGGGCACUGCUUGCUGGCAAAUCAGCUCCCAAACUCUCAGGUUCUGCAUCGCAGAACCAGAAGAGGGUCCCUGGUGUCUCCCUUGGCUUUCUGGAUAUAUCCAGCUGGGUGGUUUUGUGCUACCCAUGAAAGCAGCAGGGCAUUAAACAUUUGAGCUGGGAUCGGAGGAGAGCAGAAAGAAGUCUGUGUGUGUGCGUGUGUUUGUGUGUUUGUGUGGAAGUAUAAAAACCCCGCGCCUGUGUUCUCCCCAGAGUAUUAAUUACAGCUGGAGAGGAGACUUGUCCAGGCGUGUUCCGCUUGGGCAGAGUAAUUUCUCCCUGGUUUUCGGGGAGCGGGAGGCGUCACGGUGCAGAGAGCAGGACACACACCUCUCUCCCCGGCUUCAUGGCCACCCGGCCUGCUCUGGAGCGGACAGCUUUGCCAAGGCCUGGGCCAGAGGGAAUGCAGAGAGCCUGCAGAUAGGGCCAGGGAGGACAGGCAAGAUAGUGAGCCCUUGACAGAAUCCCACCUAAGACAGAACAGGCAACAAGAGAGGCCUGUGAGCGGCUUAGGAGGAGGAGGAGGCCCAGCUCCCUGUGAUGGAGGAAGGGCAGGGAAGACAUGAGCCCCCAGCCAGCCUGGCUGCCCACACCUAGGUCCUUCUGCCCCUGCAGGCCUUGCACUGAUGCCAACUGCCGGAGGGAUUCACAGGGGAAGGGGGAGGUCCACAGAGAAGGCCGGUGUGAUCCCUAUUGGUGUCUGAAAAGCUGCAGUACCUAUCUGCUCCCUGCUAAGCAAAGUGGAGGACCCUGCACAGUGAUGGCUACAAUUCAGGACCUCGCUGGCCUCGGCAUGACCAACACAGAGGCCCGAGCACACCUUCCCCUGCCCUGGAUUCCUCCCAACCUCGCUGGACACUGAGGCCACCUGCCUGCGUCCCUGGGGCUGGUCGGGGCCUCCCGGAGUGCUUGGCCUCUCGGCCAUCUCAUGUGUCCAGUUACAAGCCAUAGAGCAGAGGGUGCCCCUGCCAGUCAGUCUCCCCACGCCGCCAGUUCCAGGCAGCCUCCCCAUGCUGCCAGCCCCAGGCAGGUGACCGUGAGCCAGGCCCCGUGCUGAGUCCUUCUCGAUGGCAGAGUCCUCAGUGGCACGAGUGACCUGUUCCUCUUGUGAGCACACACGACAUGCUGGAGAUGCAGAGGAGCCGGACACAGCCUCUGCCCUGAGUGAGCUCAGGCUCAAACAGCACUCGCCCCUCCCGGGGGUGGGCUGGAUUUCUGACAUCCAUGGGGCACCUGUGUCUGGUCUAUGGGAUUAAAGGACACCAGCCCAGGAAGAAAAGGGGAAGGCACUCAGAAACUGAGGCCCAACCUGCCUCUGCAGGUGUUCCCGGCCGGCCACUGCUUCACUGCGUCUCUCGGGACUUACUUUGUCUUACUCUGCUGGAAUGAGCCCCUGGGGACUCAGCACACAGAACUGGUGGUCUCAGCCAAAGCCAGCAAGAAGUCUCCGUGGCUCCUUUGCUGGGAGUCUAGCCUGCCAACUGGCUGGCGCUUGCAGAUGAGUUAGAGGGAGAGGGAAGGAGGGAGAGUGAGAAGGGAGCGAGGCAGGGUUGGAAGCACCGCAGCCUUCUGCUGCUUCUGCAGAUGCUCCGUGCAGGCCAGAGUGAGAGGUCACUGUCCAGAAUGCUGAGUGGGUUCCCCCAGGCCUGCCAGGUCCCAGAGCCUCCCGAGCAAUCUGGGAGAGCCAGAAUCUGUCCUUAUCCCGUCUCACGCUGGUGGAAAAUUUACCAGCCUCGAGCUCCCUCUUUCCUAACUCACAUACCUGCAAAUGCCCAUGUCCCUUGAUUAGUGGUGACUUUUUUAUCCAGUACCUGUGUGCCAGACCCUCCCCCUUGGUGAUUGCUAAACCACCAUAAUCACCCCAGGAAGGUAGAUGUUGCCAUCCCCACUCUACCAAAAAGGGAACAGAGGCUCAGAGAGGUUAAGUAAUCUCCUCAAAGCUUCCCAGCAGGACAGCAGCUGGUCUGGAAUUUGAGCUCAGGUCUGAGUGUUGCCACAUCCUAGGCUCCUGCCCUGCAGAGUGCUGCCCAGGGCACGCUGGGUGCAGUCACAGACCCCAUGCAUUCUCUUGGCCACGGUGGGAAGGAUAGACAGCAGGCGACUGCUAAUCAGGCCAGGAAGCCACCCCCACCUCCCCGUGAACAGCAGCCCUCACAAAAUCCUCAGGCUGAGCGGAGAUAGUCGUGAGGUUCAUCUUUAGACACCUGGCCCACCUCUUGUUCAGGGAAUGCGCUGCUGGGGGUGAUGCUAGAACUGCAAAACUCCAAGUUGGACCAUGCUCCUCCUCUGCUCCAAAUCCUCUUGUGACUCCUACUUCUCCUGGAGAAAGGCCAAAGUCCUCACAGUACCCUCCCAUAUAAGACCUCCUAUGAUCUGACCACCUGUCCCACUGCUGCCUGCUCACUCUCAUUACUCCAGCCCAUGGGCCACCUCACUGGUUCCCUGAAUAACUAGACACAUCCCCAUGAUGUGGAACGCCCUCUGCCAGGGGUAUUUUUUGCUGGAAUAUUCUCCCUAGAGAGCCUGAGAUCCCCUUCUUUGGACUCAUCCAGAUGGGCCUGAACAUCACCUCAUCAGUUACGCCCACCCUGACCACCUGGCUGAACACUGCAGCCCCCUCCUCUGCCCUCCCAGACCCCCACCCUACUUCCCCCGCCACUAUCACCCUUUGACAUGCAAGAGGAUUUUCUAAUUAAUUAUGUUUGUUGAUUUUCCUCCCCGGUACAGGAUAAAGCACCGGAGGGCAGGAAAGUUAGCCUGUUUGGUUGAAAGCUGGGUCCCUUGUGUGGAACAGCGCCCAGCCUGCAGUUGGCACCCCACACACAUUUGUGGAUUUGUUGAUGAGGCAGAAGGGACCCAGCAGCCCCCUGCCCAGUUGGGGUCCAUUGGUCCUCGAGGCACAGACACACACUUCCCUUGGCUACAAGGAGUUCCAGAGUCAAUCCAGCAACCAAGCACCCAGCUGAGCACUUACAGAAUUGAUCCAGGGGGCCCGAUGCGUGGCUCACACCUUUAAUCCUAGCCCUUUGGGAGGCCAAGGCCGGCAGAUCACUUGAGGUCAGGAGUUUGAGACCAGCUUAGGCAACAUGGUGAAACCCUCCCUCUACUAAAAAUACUAAAAUUAGCCAGGUGUGUUGGUGCAUGCCUGUAAUCCCAGCUACUUGGGAGGCUGAGACAUGAGAAUCUCUUGAACCCGGGAGGUGGAGGUUGCAGUAAAGCCAAGAUGGUGCCAUUGCCACUCCAGCCUGAGUGACAGAGUGAGACCCUGUCUUAAACAAAAAAAGAAUGGAGUGGGGUAAGAGCAGUGCUGGGGAGGGGGCUGGCCAGUGAGUGAUGCCCGGGGAGGGAGCUUGAGACUGGGAGAUGGCCGAACUUUCCAAAGGGGAAGAGAGGCUGACAGUGCGUACCAUGUGGGCUGUGUACUUGCUGGUCUCCUUUCAUUGAGGACUGGAUGAUAGGGGCGUGUUUCUCGGAGGUGACGUGUGAAUGGUCAAAGGGCACUGGCUCCUGGGGUGUCUCUAACGGUGUGCCACAAGCCUCCGUUCUCAACCCCGUCUUAGUCACGCCUUUUGCCGGCGGCUUAUGUAACCUGUUAGUAGGUGUGAUGAUCAAAUUGUGAUCGGUCUGCUGAUGAGAGGAAUAGCUAACAGUUCGCCUGGUCUGCAGCCUAGCGCCAGAGGUGCGAUUAACUAUAUGUAACAAGUCUAACUGUAAAAUCUUGCUCUGAGUUCCAAAAACACUAGUGGGAUGAGUACAGGAGGAAGAAGACUUAGGGGCUACCAUUGAUCACAACUUCAGGACAGUUAGAGAGACUGGAAGACUAUCCUUCAAACUGGAGCGCUGUUAACCAUUACGGUGUAAACCAGUCGUGUCCCGGGAAACCCGGAUGCAUCGUGACUCCAGGGAUAAGUGGCUGCCAUCCAAAGCUGCUUCUGUUUAGAUGGCAGAGGUGAGGUCUGCUCCCAAUCACUGGAAGGGAUCCCUGGACCUCAGAGCCACCUGGAAUGUUAGGUUCACCCUGGAGUUCCCAGCCAGGGCCAGGAGAUAUUUCGUAGCCAAGUGGAAAAGAUGAGGUGGAUGUCCAAACACACCCUAAGGGAAACGGCCCCAGGUACCAGUUCUGUGUGCCCAGACCAGGAAAGAGCUGGUUGGUCUGUCUUGGAAAGUUCAAGGGCCCGCCUGGCCUGUGGAGGAGGAAGGCCACGCAAUGCCUGUGGCCUCAGAUGGUGGAACUAAGAUCAGCAAGGAGAGUCUGGAGGAGAUGAAUUUCAGGCUGCUUAAAAGAACUUCUGAAGGUGACAGCUGGCAGCCAGGGGGUGGGCCCCCUGAAUUCUCUGUCCUUGGUCCUUGGAGGCAUCCAUGGUGGGGAGGCUGCAGAGGAACUUCCUGUGUCCUGGGAGGGGAGGGGCCAGGUGAGUCUCAGGCUCUUGCUGGCAGUCCUGCCUCGGUGGCCACUGUAUAUUACUGUUUGGGAAGAAGAAUCUGCCCAGAGACUCUUUCGAUCAGGACACACGCAGAGAGUGGGCGAGGUGUGCGGGAGGCAGCAUUCGCAUGGCCUUCCCUCAGCCUGCCGCAUCUUCCCUUCUGCUGUCUCUCUCUGCCCCCCAAUAGACACACCUUCGCCUUGUUCCUCCUGGCCCCUCUCUCGAUGCUGAGGUGGAUUUUCCCUUCCUAAGUCCCCUCUCCUGCUGCUGAAUUAUUGAAAGUGUUGUUUGCUUUAUCGCUGUGCUGGGGUAAGGGACACUGCCGCAGAGCAGCUGAGCUUGGAAUGCAUCGCUGGCCCAGGACAGCUGCCCAGGCCACAGAAUCCCUUCCCCAGAACCCCUCGGUGGGGGAGCAUCCUGCACCCCAGCCCCACUUUCUCCUCCUUCAUCAUUAUUUAUUCAUAACUGCUGGCUUUCUGACCAGACAUGCGGCAUCCUGCCACGUCUCAAGCCACCAGCCUAGAGGGCUGCAGGCAGAAUGUGCAGCAAAUGUCACCACCUGGCCCAGGUACAGGGUCGGGUCUCUGUGCUGGGGUCUACAGGGACCAGCUGAGACCUCCAGGGCAUGUAUGGAAGUGUUCUGUCCACUGGGGGUUGCCCCAGCGGGGCUGCCACAUUGGUACAUUUCUAGAGAAAGGUACAUUUCCUGCAUGCAGAGGUGUGUGUGUGAUCACACACGCUAUGCAGCUGUGUGUGUGUGCAGGAGAUAUCAGGGCAUCCAUGCAUGUAUGUGUCCAGAUGUACAUGCAGCUGUGUAUGGGGGGGAGUCGUGCGUGUGUGUGUGUGUGUGUGUGUGUGUGUGUGUGUGUGUGCAGGGGAUAUCAGGGCAUCCAUGCAUGUGUGUGUCCAGAUGUACACGCAGCUGUGUGUUGGGGGGCGUCAUGUGUGUGUGUACAGAUACACGUACAGUUGCAUGUGUGGUCUGCUGUUGCCCCAUGUCCACUCCAAGUGUGGAUUUUUAGAGCAGAAACCCUGGAACUUAACUUGACAGAGGUCUUGCCUGUGAGCUCAUUUCUCUGGAGAGGGUGAUGGAGUGGCCACCCUAGAACUUAGAGGAUCCAGGAGACAGGCAGCUUGCUCAAGGCAGACACGCCAUAUGGGCAGGACCCCAGUGCAUGCAGGAAAAGGUAGCACAACCACACCUCCACACCCCAAAGGCGCAGCCUGGGAGAUUCACCACUGUCUUCUCAGACCCUCCAGACUGGAGCCCAGGGGCACAGGAUCCAGAGGAAACUGCUUCUUUCUCAGCUGUCCUCUCUAAAGAGCAGCCCACCCCUCGCUCGGCCACCUCUUCAUUCUCUAUUCAGCCCCACAGCCAGCAUUUGGGCAUUUGCACCAUGCUGGCCACCUGAACAUAACAGGUGUGGCUGAGCCUCUACCCUCUAGGAGCUGCCCAUGUGCCCAGGGCAGGGCCAGCCCAGUCCACAUGCAAUGACCAGGCCGUGUGUGAGGGGACAGGAAGGAGGGGCUCACGACCAUCUCUGGCAGGCACUGCCAUCCUGUGAGCUUUCUGAGCCCAAAGCUCAGCUUUCUGGACAUAUGCAGGGGGAAAUGUGGCUGCAAGGGGCCACAGAACACCACCCAGAGUCUCCAGUGCAGGGGAUUGUGCCAGCUCAGGCUCCCCAGACCUCUAGCCCUUUGAAAAGAACAGGAGAUAGGAACUUCCCCAAGCAACCCUGGAGCAGGGCUGGCCCUGCCGCCCCAGUUUGGACAUGAGGACACUGAGGCAGAGAGCAGUGACGCGGCCCACAGCCUGCAAGGCUGGCAGCAGCAGGCUGGGUUUAGAUGGAUCUCAGGCCUCUGUACCUUCUGGCCAGGGCUGCUUCCUUGGCAUGAGCUGGCACAAAGUGUUUGAUCCCCAGGGAGCCAUAAAGGUCCUUAGACCUGCUAGAAAUCAGGCAGCAGGUCCCUAGGGCAUCGGCUCUGGUGGACACCUGCUUUCCCACCCCCGCAGUGUUUGUGGCUGGUGGAGGUUUUCGGGCAGUCUCAUUCUAGAGCUUGCAAUGUGAGCAGAGGAUGCUCUGCCUUCUGGUAUUCCUCUCAUACUUCUGCCCUCUGCACCCUCCCCAUCUGCACCCCCACCCUUGCCCGCUUCCACCAGGCAUCUGUGUCAGCCCCACAGACUCAAAGCUGAAGAUGCUGCCUGCAUCCCGGCGCUGCCCCUGGGCUUGCCCAGCCAGGGAGCUAUGGGUGGGGGCCUUGGAGGGGAACCAGAGAGCAGAGCCAGAGGCUCCAGUGGCCGACCCCCACCUCCUCCUUCCCAGCUGGCCCUCCUUCCACUCAGCCAGGUCCCCAGUGGAGGAGUGACAGGGUGGGGGACCUGUGUGGAUCUGGGGUGAGCACUCCCUGAGGACGAUCGUGAAUUCGCCUGGACCCCACCUUACCGCAGCUGGACACGGUUGGGUUGGGAAACCCAAGUCACCCUUCAGGGAAAGGAAGUCCUGGGUGUUCAGUCUGGGGCUGGCCCCUGAGGCCACCAGCCCAGGGCCAAGGGGGACAGGGCUCUCCAGAGGGAAGAGUGGAAGCAUGAGAACUAGCAGAGCAGGGGCGUCGGACUCCUCACAGCCGCCCACCCUCAGCCCCCAACAUGAACGGGCCUCUGGGCCUCAGUGUUUCUUGUUGGAAGAAACUCUGAAAACCAUAGAAAGAAGUCUCUCUCAUCUCUUCAAAGAGCAGGUGACAGCACACGGGCUCUGGCCCUCAGGCCGAUGGUGGAGCGGCCUCCCCACCUGGCCCUGGGGCUGGGUCACUGGGUGUAUGCAGCACAUGGGUGGCACUGGCCAGAGACAAUGGGCUGUAAGCAAGGCAGGUUGGCUGGGAGGCUCCUGUCCACACAGCUCAGCCAGCAUGGGCCUUUCAGCAGCGCUAAGCAGAAAUCCCCACUGCAGGGCGGUGAGUCCCCAAAGGCCCCGGCCCCCAGCAGCAUGGGUUAGUGGAGAAGGCACCCAAGUCCCUCUUGGAUAGGGCGUCCUGGAAAAUGCUGAGGCAGGACAGACGUUAGACGCAGACUCUCCGGCAGGCGGCCCCACCUCCCUGCAAUCCACCCUCUCACCCCCACUGCACCCAAUGCACAUUCAACUUCUGCGCCUUGUCUCUGAUUGGCCCAUGCUCCAGGCCUAGAGAGCUGCGCCACCCCACCUCUGCAGAAGCUGCUCCUCCUCUCUCCCUGCUGCUCCAGACUGGGGGCUGGGGUCUCCAGGCAGUGUUACCUCUCCAUCACUUCCAAAUCUCAUCUCCCACCAUCUGAAGCCAAGAGAGGCCUUCCGAGAAUUGUACUAACCUUCAGUGAAAUGUCCUCCCCAUCCCUGUCCCCAUCCCGUCUCCAUUCCAGUAUCCGUGAGAUCUGCCAGGCUGGAAGGUUUGUGCCACCCGCCCCCCACCCCCCCCUGUGUCCCCUCCUUGGCGAGCGCUGGAGUUAGGACACUGUAGCUCAACUCCGAGCAGAGAUCUGGACAGCAGAAAUGUCCAGGAUGGGGCAGUGCCAGGCAGGACCCCAUCGAUGAGCGAGCAGAGAGCAGGCAAGGAGCUGAGCAACCUGGGGAAAUAAACCGACAGAGGCAGAGACACAGGGAGGGGUAGAGGACCUAGAGUGAGCAGGAGCGAGCUGGAGGACCCAGAGUGAGCAGGAGCGAGCUGGAGGCAGGGAAGAGAAUCGCACUUGCUAAGACAGCUGCAAGUGACAGCUAAACUGAGCGCCAGUGUGGGGGGACCGAACCCCCACCCCACCAACCUGCCUCCAGCCGCUGCUCCCCUGAUUGGGUCUUGUCCCCGCCUCCCCAGGAGCCUGCCGUGGAGCCGCAGUUCCAAAAUGAUGAUGUAUUUUUGGGUAUGUACCAAGCGUGGACUGCGUGUUGCUUUUUCACUCUGGGCAGAUCUGGGGCUGAGAUGUUGGGAGGGUCAGCGUGCCCACACCCCCCCGCCGCCGUGCCUCCCCAGGCCAUGCCGGCCUUUCCCCCAGGGCCCAGCAGGCAGGGGUGCAGUCGGAGGUGUCCCCAGGCAGGGAGCGCUCGCUGGCUUUCGGCCACUCUUCUGGGUGGGCCUCGGAUGUAGAAGGUGGGGCUGAGACAGGGGGCUGCGCCCAGGCUCCAGAAAUGCCGGCAGGGGUUACGCUAGCCCAGCCCUCUCUGGGCGAUUCCUCGGCCUGGUCUUAAAGGAAAACCUUGGCAAAUUCCCCCAGCCCAAACUUUAAAUGGCUCCCAGGAACCCAGCACACCAGCCCCAGCCCCACGAGCUCCCCUCCUCCUUAUCCUGCACCUUUACUCUUCCCCUUCCCAUUCAAAAUCAGGUGUGGGAAACUGGACCCUGGGAAGGAGGAAAGGAUCACCCUGCUAGGCGGAGCCGGCCUCCCGGGGCUCUGAGCCCAGACAGGAGCAGCUUGCAGAGGUCCUGGGGAGAGGAAGUGCCCCCACCCUUCGGCCUCCCCCACCUUCCUCUGCAAGCCCCUGUGCCUUUUGGCAAAGGAAAUGAAAGAACAGAGUAGGGGUGGGAAGGGGCAGCACCUGACAAGGCCAAACAGGAAGGGGCCUCACUGUGAGGGGAGGACCAGGCCAUCCUAAUUCAGCUGGGCAGAACUAGGAGAAGGAAAGGUUUAGGGUGUGUGUGUGUGUGUGUGUGUGUGUGCACAUGCUCACACUUUGGAGAAGGCUGCAUAUCCCGGGAUCAUCAGCCUCUAGGCUUGCACAGAGGUGGUUUGGAAAUCGUGAAUUUCCUGUGCUUUCCAUGUAGGGUGAGUGUCUCCCCUGGCCCAGCCAGCAGCCUCAGCCCAGGAACACGACCCAGGCAGGGGCCACCCAUAUCCGGGUACCUCUUCCUCCAGGUUGCCCUCCCAGGUCCAGACAUGACCUGCUCUGCAACUGGGACUCCCCAGCCACAGUCCAGCCCUGUCACCAGGAGGAGGACUCAAGGUCCAGGAGCCCCACUGGGAGAGCCUGAGCCUGCACAGGUGCCUGUGAGGCCCACACCAAGCAGCUGGACCAUGGGCCAAGCAGGGGUCUGCAGAGCAGGCUGAGGCUUACAGAAGCCACGGCAGCCUCUGAGAAGGGCUGAUGGCCCCCGGGAGUCUGAAUGGCCAUGGUCAGGCUCACCACCUGUCACCCCACAGGCUGAGCUCUGCUGACUUCGCUCCCAUUCAGGGCAAAAUUGGGGCCAGGUGCCCCAGCCUCCGAGUCUGCACAAAGGCCUUUGUUCCACCAAGAAUGUCCUGACAUGUCCCACCAGUCCCCCUCCUCAUUCUUCAAGGCCAGCCUCAGGGGCCACUUCCCCAAAAACAUUCCCUGAACCCACAGGCAGAAUGGACUACUGUUUCCCGGCCUCCCCCAUCUCAGCUCCCUGUCCUGACCUGGCAUAUGUGAGCUGGCCCAGGAGCCCCUUCAGAGCCCGGAGGGGGCUUCCCUCUCUGGUGGGGGUCUGGUUGCCUGGCUCCUCUGGGGGUCUGGCUCCCAGAAUGCCCCCUCUCCCCAGCAGAGGUUCUGCCUGUCCUCAGCCUUGCUCAGCCAAGCCCUGGGGCCAGGCCAGGCUCCUCUGCUGUACCUUGCAGGCUAUUUAGGAUGGGGUGGAACCUGAUCAGGAACCUCAUCUACCCGGGAGCCAGCUCCCCAGCUCCACUUCCAGGCUGGGAUUCGGAGCUGGACAGAGAACCGGGCCCCCACAGAAGGACCCUCCUUCUCGCCUGCUCUCCCUCCCUGAGCCAUGUCACCACCCCAGUGUGGGAGACGACACCGAGACGCUGCCACCCGCCAGGCCCCCUCACAGCCUCACCAGCGCCAUUCCUGUUGUCCACCUGGUGCCCACACACUCCUCAAAUUCACACUCAAAACGGAGCCUUGAAAAUUGCUGUUUCCUUCAGAUUGUCUCCUCCAUCCUUGCCCUGCCCAUCACCAGUGGGUGCCACCAUCUGCCCGACCCCAGCUCCUGGGGUGGGUCCUGCCUCCCUCUUGCCCACCCCCAACUUCCCACUCAGCUUCCAGGCCCAUCCCCAGCCCCACCUGCCCCAACCAACAAGGAGCGCCAACUUCUCCCCACCCUGCCCUCUCAGCUCCACCUCACCCGCACCUCCUUCCAGCCCUUCCCUAAGCACCGUGGGCCAGCCAAGCUGAGCUGCUCCAAGGUAAAUCCCAACAUCUGCCGUGUUCUCCCUCAGGCUUGUUCCACCUAAAAAAAACUCCCUCCCUCCCACCCUACCCCCCUUAGCUGGCUCCUGCUUAACUUCAGAGUGAGCUUUCAGGCAGGGGGACACUAGGGGCUGCUGCAGGCAUGGAGUCAAAGGCUGCUUAGCUGUCACCAUCUCCAGGAAGCCCUCCCAGAGCAUCCCGCAGCCAAUGUCAUUUCCCCCUCUGCACCCCUGCCCUCAUCCUUGGGUGCUCCUGUUACCGUUCACCCCUCCACCUCCCCUCUGCCGGUAGCUCCCUUGAGCUCCCUUGCCGGGUCUUAUUCAGUUCUUGUUCCACGUACCUGCUCUGUGUCUGAUGUUUGGCUGAGGUUCUGGGAACCCUGAACAGUGAAAUGAAUAAGUGACUGAAUAAGGAAAUGAGUCUUCCGAGUGCAGGAAGGGGCCUGGCCAAGGUGUUCCCUGCAGCAGUGGCUCUGUAGGGCUCCCCACUCAGGUGCAGCCUCCUCUCCCAUCCCCGAAUGAGCAUGUCUUCACCUCCUAUGGGCGUAGCUUUUCAAGUGCAGCACUGGAGAUAUUGCCGCUCCCGUUUCCAAACUGGCAAAAGUUGUGGCCGAUGAUUUCUGUGCUUGUGAAGGGGGGGCCUGGCCUUGGCAAAGCAGGGGUUGGGUGCAGGGAGGAACCUGCCCCAGGCCCUUUCAGCUUGGUGGUGUAGGGAGGCAAGAGGGGGUGUGGAGGUCACUGCGGUUCUGUGAGAGAGGCCCGAGGUGGGGGGCCUGCCUGCUUUGGGGGCAUCUCUGCCUUUGGAUGGUUCAUCUGGGGACACCCCCUGGAGGAGGGCUACCACCCCGACAGGGAGACAGGGGUCUGGGGGGUAAAAUGGCUCCUGGGGUCUGGACAGUAGGCCCAGUGCUAGAGGCAGGGGACUCGUGUUCCUCAGGCCUUCCCUGGGAUCUGGCUCUGCCACUCGGCAGCUGUGUGACCCUGGACAGGUCGCCAGGUCUCUCUGAGUCUCCGGUGGCUCCUCUGUAAAGUGAGAUCGCAACGCCAGUGUGCAGGCUGGGUGAGAAUUACUGUUUGCAUGUUCCAUGCCCGGUCAAGCAGGACAGGGAUAUUUGCCAGCAGGACGGGGGGACCCCAGGGUGAGUGGGCACGAGACUCUUGUCACCCACCUGGGUUCUGCUCACUGCCACAGAGAAGCCCACACCAGCUAUGGGGCCUGUGCUCUUGGUCUGGAGGGCCACAGUACCUUCCUCCCUGCAGGAGAUGGGUUCAGCCCCACGUGCUUCUCUUCUUCCUCCUUUUCCACACUCCCAGCCCCUGGCCUCAUGCUGGUCCUGCCUCUAAGCUGCUCCUGGAACACCCCGCCCCUCCUUCCUACCUGCCCCCAGUCCAUCUCUGCUCCAGGCCCUCCAAGUGGUCCCAGCCCAGGAGACCCCUCCCCGCCUGCUGUGUGGUCUCCGCCUUCUUCUGUCAAUGGCCACCACUUUCUCACGUGGACCACAUGUCCUAAGAACAUGGCACACGGCAGAGACCAUUGUGGCUCUCAGAACCUCCUCACAGAUGGCUCCUCAGCUCACCUCACCAACACCGGGGAGGCAAACAGACUGGGCUGCUCUCCCCACGAGGAGCCACAGAGGUGGCAGGGAUGUAUUCAGGUCACCAACUCAACUGUGAGGUCCAGAACAAGAACCAGGCCUCCAAAGCCCAGUCAGUUGCAUCUUGACCCCUGCUGGGCCAAGGACCCUUGGGGACAGGGGACAAGUGCUGGACCCCUGGGUGAUCCCAAGACCAUCAGCUCCAGCCCUGCCCCUACUGCUUGAGAGGCUACCGGAUUAAACCUGACACCGGCUCUGCCCUCCAUUCGGGGAGCCCUCAGGAUGACAUCCAAAUGCCUACACCAGUGUCCACAGCCGCUAAUGGCUUCCCACUGCCUUAGAGAGAAAAGCAAAGGACACGCUGAGCCCGGCCAUGUGACCAGCAUACACCAAGGUGCUGAGUGCUUCGCUUCAGGGCAGGCUGAGAGAGGGCUGUGCCCAGCAUGGCAUAGCUGCCCACAGCAAAGCCAGGCAUGGGGACACAUUCCUGCUGGGCCUCUGCCCCGACAUCCUCCCCCGGCCCCACCCCAGGCCUUGUCCUACGUCCAGCCCUGCACAGCCUUUGGGGACCAGUUUGUUCCCCCACUUGCUGUUCCUUGCCCUUCCCUCCCAUCUUCUGUGAGUCCCUGCACACCAGGGCACCUGCCUUACCCAGGGCACUGGCAGACGGUGAGCCCCAUGUGGGCAGGAAAUGAGGCUGAGCGGUCGGUGGUUCCAGCAGUACCCUGGAAAGGGGAGAGCUUGGCAAGGACUCAAGGAGCAGAUGGAGAAGGAAGGGAGGUUGGCGGGAGGCAGGGAGCAUGUUGACAGUGGUACGUUCUCAGCAUGGCAGAGCAGGGACCACGCCUCUGAGCAUGGGCAGGGCACUCUCCAGAGGUGGCUCCUACCAGGGAACAUCCAUGGGUCUGGAAACCAGUGUGACUCUUCGGUUGACAGGGGCUGCAGCCCAGAGCAAAGGCUCUCCCUGCCCUCCACAGCCUCAGUACUGCUGGGCUCAGCUCAGAGCUGCAGGAGGGCGGCAUGUGCAGUUCAAGGCCUGGGAGCUUCUGCCGGGGCCCUGCAGCGGCCAGCACCUCCCUCUUCCCCCAGAGCCUACCGGAUGGGACAAACAGAUGGUGCUGGAAGACAGCCUGGGGCGUGUGAAAAUCUCUCUGCCCAGGAAGGGGAAGGGGAAGGGCAGGGAGCCCGCGUGGGCUAGUGUCACUCCCCAAAGCCCUGCAGCCACCAGGUCUUUCAGGGGCAGGAGAGACGGGUGUGGGGGCAGCACCAGUGGGUGGCUUCAUAAUUGACCGGCACCAGGCAAAGAUGCCAAAGCAGAGCAUCUCCAAAUUAGCAGUAAUUGCCAGAGAAAUAAAGAACAAACAGGGUGAGCUGAAUGAGGCUUUCCAUAAAUAUUAUGUUUUUUAAAGUUUGCCCUGGAGUAAUAGAAGCUGUUUAAACGCUAAUAUCCUGUCUGUGCAUUUAAAAAGCCUUGUAAUGAGGAUUGAGUGUCUGUUUCCUAGGGCCACCUAGUACUGGAGCCCCCAGGCCUCCGGCCUCUGCUCCUUGGUUUCCCAGAUGGCCGCCCUCCCAUGAGUCCGGAGAAUACCCCUCACCUGGUCCAGACCCCGCUUCAGCCCCACCUGGGAGCCUAGGCCCCUCCUGCCUCUCCCUGGACAGCCAGAGCCAACCCCUCCUGCUUCCUCUGAGACCCCAGAUGUCCCUGCCACUUGCCCUGCCCUAUGGAGCCCCUCUUCCCCAUUUCUUCUUCUCCUCCCUGGGUGCCAGGGUGGGUGGGCAGCAGCAUCCUCCCAGUCACACUGAUCCAGUGUGUUCGCCUCACUAUCCUCUAGAAGAGAGCCCCACACCCACCUGCGGGCGGGAGAGCUUGUCUAACUAAUGACGAGACAGGGCUUUCCUCCAGGAGGCCCCUCCACAACCAUGUCUGAUUUUUAUUAAAAAUCAUUAAGCAAAGUGUUUUUCCAUGCCGGCAACCAGCACAGCCACUUUCCCAUUGUGAGACAGCCCUGUGCAUCGACAGAGAGGUAGACUUUAUCAGGGGCCUGGAACCCACGGUGGUAAAGCUCUGGUGAGGGCCACUUCCCAGAGAGAGGUCCAUCAUGGGUCACCCAAGAAGCUCACUUAAUCCGUUUAUUUCAGCCCCUCCGGCCUGGGCAGGGCAGUGCCAUGCGAGGGUCGGCUGUGGCCCGCUGGGCCACCCAACAUCCGCCCCGGCACCACCUCGAAAACAGAAGCAGGUCUGAUCUGCUGAGCGUUUCGGGGCUGUUGCCACAGGUCACAGGCAGCACUCAAGGUCCUGGCUUCCUCCACAUCCGCAAUUCCCAAAACCCAGCGGUGCCCAGUACAGAGUGGCGGGGGAGACCCUCUGGGCUUGUGCAUGGGGUGUGGCCGGCUGGAAAGUCAGGUUUCCCGUGACAUUCGCAGCCCGUCAUCCUUGGAGUACACAUGUUCGCAAAGUUAUAUCUGGUAGGGGUUGAAGACAAGAGGAGAGAUUUGAGCCAUCAGUCGGUCAGCGUUGUUGGCGGUGCCGAAUGGAUACACCCUAUAAGGUGCAAAGUGGCCUGAGCCGUAACAGUCCCCAGGAAGGCUCAGGAUGUCCAAGAUGGAAGGACUUGGGAAAUCUCACCAAGCAACAAGCGUGUGGGUAAAGGGGAGGGCG